AUUUAAUUUUCCCAGCAUUAGGUUGGCCUUUUGUGUACCCAAGACAGGGCGUAGGAAGUCAACUUAAGAGCGCUGUGAUUGGAUGUAAGGGUACAAUAUAUUUUUUGUUUAUCUAUGAAUAACUGCAGUGUGUAUAUUUACAAUAUAAAUUUUGAAACCUAUUGAAAUAUUUUCUAGAGAAUUAUUCGAAAAGACUUGCAAAAUUUCAUAAAUUUGGUGCAAAAUGACGGUGGGCAUGGAUAACAUAAACAAGCUUCGUUGGAAGUUGGUCAUGAUACUAUUUGGCUUUAAUUUUUAAAACACAAUAAUAAAGUACUACCACA
rnacentral:lncRNA from 1 species